AUGCAUGGGCAUAUGAGCAUGUGUGUGUGGAUGUGCAUUGAUGCAUGUGUGUAUUGUGUGUGUGCGUGUGUGGAUGCCCUCUCUGGGAACCUGGAGAGUAUAGGCCUGGAGGCGGGACAGAGCCUGAGGACUGGCAGCCCAAGACAUCCCCAGGCCCAUCCCAGUGCACAGCUUCUCAGCGGAGAGGGCUGCAGCUUUUUGAGGCAAACCCCCCUCCAGUUUCUGGGGCAGCCAGAUACAGGGGACUGGGGCAGGAGCAGCCACAGAAGCUGGGGCAGGAGCAGCCUCUCUGGGCACCAGAACAAUGUUCCACCAAGGCUGGAAGUGAACCACGUGCUGCCUCCAGCGCCAGCUACCCCCUCAGUCCCCAGGCACCCUUUGGGGGGCUCUUGGUGCCCUUGGUCAUACAGAUCUAACCAGCGGGACAUGGUGCCUGGGGUGGGGGGUCAUCUUUGCUAUCCUGGAACAGAUCCGCAUGUGCUGGCUGUGAGCAGGGUCCCUUCCCGUGUGGGUAGCGCCUGGCAAAGCUGUGGGUGUUGGAGCCUCUCGGUGGGGCUGCUCCACGCCUGCAUCCAGGACCCCGAUCCUGCCUGGGCCGCCCCCGCCCUGUGGGUGCCGGGACACAGAGCUCCGCUCUGCGGCUCACUGCUGGUGGCUGAGUUAUUUCUCCAGGGUGGCUUUGGUGACAGAGGUUUUGCUGACAUGCAGGAUUUCUGGCAGGGCUGGGCGAUGCUCCUAGUGAUGCUACCUGAGGUCGUUAAUUUAAGCAACCCAAGCCGGCUUCAUCAGAGAGGGGUUUUUGCAAUAACGUUAACAAACCGUAAAUAUCUGCCAGACCCCGAGAAGGCAGCGGCUGCGUCCCACCUUCCCGGCGGGAGGGGCCGACUGGGCCGAGCCCCGUAUUUCUUGGCUGUUGGUGCAUUGAGGGGAGGCGCUGCCUUUCCACCGAGGUCCAGGUGCUGCCAAAAUGACAUGGAUUCAGGCAGCUGCUGCCAAGCGAGGGCCUCACAGCCCUGCUCUUUUGCCAGUUGUUCUGGGAUGGUUAGGCUUUUGCCUAGAAGCUCCGUGUUCCCAGGGCCCUGA
rnacentral:lncRNA from 1 species